UAAUACGGAGGGUCCAAGCGUUAAUCGGAAUUACUGGGCGUAAAGCGCGCGUAGGCGGUACGCUAAGUUGGGUGUGAAAUCCCCGGGCUUAACCUGGGAACUGCAUUCAAAACUUGUGUACUGGAGUACGAAAGAGGCGAGUAGAAUUCAUGGUGUAGCGGUGAAAUGCGUAGAUAUCAUGAGGAAUACCAAUGGCGAAGGCAACUCGCUGGUUCGUAACUGACGCUGAGGUGCGAAAGCGUGGGUAGCAAACAGGAUUAGAUACCCUGGUAGUCCACGCCGUAAACGAUGAGAACUAGCCGUUGGAUCCUUGAGGUUCAGUGGCACAGCUAACGCAUUAAGUUCUCCGCCUGGGGAGUACGGCCGCAAGGCUA
rnacentral:rRNA from 1 species